rnacentral:rRNA from 1 species
AUACGAAGGGGGCAAGCGUUGUUCGGAAUAACUGGGCGUAAAGCGCACGUAGGCGGAAUGUUAAGUUAGAGGUGAAAUCCCAGGGCUCAACCCUGGAACGGCCUUUAAUACUGGCAAUCUAGAGACCGAGAGAGGUGAGUGGAAUUCCGAGUGUAGAGGUGAAAUUCGUAGAUAUUCGGAGGAACACCAGUGGCGAAGGCGGCUCACUGGCUCGGUACUGACGCUGAGGUGCGAAAGCGUGGGUAGCAAACGGGAUUAGAAACCCUGUAGUCC